rnacentral:rRNA from 1 species
UACGGGGGGAGCAAGCGUUGUUCGGAUUUACUGGGUGUAAAGGGCGCGUAGGCGGCCACCGCAAGUCGGUUGUGAAAUCUCCGGGCUUAACCCGGAAAGGUCAAUCGAUACUGCGGGGCUAGAGUGCAGAAGGGGCAACUGGAAUUCUCGGUGUAGCGGUGAAAUGCGUAGAUAUCGAGAGGAACACCUGCGGCGAAGGCGGGUUGCUGGGCUGACACUGACGCUGAAGCGCGAAAGCUAGGGGAGCGAACGGG